rnacentral:rRNA from 1 species
GAUGAACGCUGGCGGCGUGCCUAAUACAUGCAAGUCGAGCGAACAGACGAGGAGCUUGCUCCUCUGACGUUAGCGGCGGACGGGUGAGUAACACGUGGAUAACCUACCUAUAAGACUGGGAUAACUUCGGGAAACCGCAGCUAAUACCGGAUAAUAUAUUGAACCGCAUGGUUCAAUAGUUAAAGACGGUUUUGCUGUCACUUAUAGAUGGAUCCGCGCCGCAUUAGCUAGUUGGUAAGGUAACGGCUUACCAAGGCAACGAUGCGUAGCCGACCUGAGAGGGUGAUCGGCCACACUGGAACUGAGACACGGUCCAGACUCCUACGGGAGGCAGCAGUAGGGAAUCUUGCGCAAUGGGCGAAAGCCUGACGGAGCAACGCCGCGUGAGUGAUGAAGGUCUUCGGAUCGUAAAACUCUGUUAUUAGGGAAGAACAAAUGUGUAAGUAACUAUGCACGUCUUGACGGUACCUAAUCAGAAAGCCACGGCUAACUACGUG